AGGUGCGAUCAUACCAGCAUUAAUGCACCGGAUCCAUCAGAACUCCGAAGUUAAUCGUGCUUGGGCGAGAGGGGUACUAGGUUGUGUGACCUCCUGUGAAGUCCUCGUGUUGCACCCC
rnacentral:rRNA from 1 species